rnacentral:rRNA from 1 species
UGAGGAAUAUUGGUCAAUGGGCGAGAGCCUGAACCAGCCACGUCGCGUGAAGGAAGACUGACCUUACGGUUUGUAAACUUCUUUUGUAGAGGGGUAAUGGCAGAUACGUGUAUUUGCGUGAAAGUACUCUACGAAUAAGCAUCGGCUAACUCCGUGCCAGCAGCCGCGGUAAUACGGGGGAUACGAGCGUUAUCCGGAUUUAUUGGGUUUAAAGGGUGCGUAGGUGGCUGAUUAAGUCAGUGGUGAAAAGCUAUGGCUCAACCAUAGUCUUGCCGUUGAUACUGGUUAGCUUGAGUGUAGAUGAUGUAGGCGGAACGUGUAGUGUAGCGGUGAAAUGCAUAGAUAUUACGCAGAACUCCGAUUGCGAAGGCAGCUUACAAAACUACUACUGACACUGAGGCACGAAAGCGUGGGUAUCAAACAGG